AAUAAGUACAGUUUUACACUAUUCAUGUCCAACGUUUGACCGUUCGUCUUAUUUGAAAUUUUUUUUGAUUAGUAUUUUUAUUGUUAUUAGAUGAUAAAACAUGAAUAGUACUUUAUGGGUGACUAUUUUUUUUUAAUUUUUUCAUAAAUUUUUCAAAUAAGACGAACGGUCAAACGUUGGACACGGAUCCCCACGACUACACUUAUU
rfam:Oryza sativa Japonica Group DNA, chromosome 2, cultivar: Nipponbare, complete sequence.